GAGCAUAGCUCAGUUGGUUCAGAGCAUCUGCUUUACACGCAGAGGGUCAUAGGUUCGAGUCCUAUUGUUCCC
rnacentral:tRNA from 1 species